UACGUAGGGUGCAAGCGUUGUCCGGAAUUAUUGGGCGUAAAGAGCUCGUAGGCGGUCUGUCGCGUCGGCUGUGAAAACCCGGAGCUCAACUCCGGGCCUGCAGUCGAUACGGGCAGACUGGAGUUCGGCAGGGGAGACUGGAAUUCCUGGUGUAGCGGUGAAAUGCGCAGAUAUCAGGAGGAACACCGGUGGCGAAGGCGGGUCUCUGGGCAACAACUGACGCUGAGGAGCGAAAGCGUGGGGAGCGAACAGG
rnacentral:rRNA from 1 species